rnacentral:misc_RNA from 1 species
GAUGAAGAACGUAGCGAAAUGCGAUAAGUAAUGUGAAUUGCAGAAUUCAGUGAAUCAUCGAAUCUUUGAACGCACAUUGCGCCCGCCAGUAUUCUGGCGGGCAUGCCUGUUCGAGCGUCAUUUCAACCAUCAAGCCCCCGGCUUGUGUUGGGGACCUGCGGCUGCCGCAGGCCCUGAAAACCAGUGGCGGGCUCGCUAGUCACUCCGAGCGUAGUAAUACAUCUCGCUCAGGGCGUGCUGCGGGUUCCGGCCGUUAAAAGCCUUAUUUUACCCAAGGUUGACCUCGGAUCAGGUAGGAAGACCCGCUGAACUUAAGCAUAUCAAUAGCGGAGGA